AAAUGGCUCGAAUAUUAAGAUGUACUCGUAGUGCUGUUUCGAUCCUGAACGUAGGGUGGCCGUAUUAGAAGAGGCACCGUUAAGGUAACAGACCCCAUUUCCAUCACCAAGUCUAAUAUGAUUUUCAGCCACUCCGUCGAAUAUUUUGCUGGUGAAAAACCUUUGCGAAUGAGCCAAAUCAGCAGAAAAAUUGACCCUUUGCGAUCAAGGAUUAGCAAUUGAAAAUCUCACGGUGUGAAGUAAAGUUUACUGCUUCUUUAUAUACCGGUAAAUGAUGUACAUGUACUAAAUAGUGUGUAGACUGAAAGUCUGGCCACCAACAGUACUUGUACCUGGAAAAUAACAUUGGGUGCUACGUACAGCCCACGACUGAAAGUCUGACCACCCUCAGUGCUUGUACCUGUAAAACCCACAACUGAAAGUCCGACCAUACACCCACAGUGCUUCUGCCUGUAAAAUAACAGUGUACUACAGUCCACGACUGAAAAUCUGACCGCCCAUAGUGCUUGUACCUGCAACACAACAGUCAGUGCUAGCCUACAGCCGACGACUAAAAGUCUGCCCACCAACAGUGCUAUACAUGUACAUAUACCUGUACAAUAAGAAGUGCUACUGAACAUACCAAUAUGUAUUUUGCACUGUGGCUGCAAACAAAGGUGCAUGAGCUCUGAGGUGGCUCAAUAAUAGUGCUGGUUUGAUCCCAUGCAUAGUCGUAGUUAGUCCCACCAAUCGGGAAGUGCAUGAUGGUGUAGCUAUUCGUUUACAGUCGUCAACAAGCGUACAAACGAAGAAAAGUAGUUAAUUGCCUUUGGCUCAAUGAACAACACUUUGCCUUCCUUAGGUGUUGGCUGUAGGAUGAUGUAAACAUCAUUAUUAUCAUUGUAAAGUGUACAUGUGCUAUGACUGUAGCUAACUGCAUGCAGGCAUGUUGCAGAGCAGCAGUAGAGUAGACAAGUAUUCGAAAGUACUCGAAUGGCAGCUUUCAUCUUCAACCAUAGGUCCUGGGGGGUUAAAAAUUGUUUCGUGAAUUGUAGUACUGAUUUGCUUCUUUUCUACAUAUAAAUGAUGUACUUGACAUUCACAGAAAAUGUGUGCAGACUGAAAAUCUUAACCACCCACACUGUUUGUACCUGUGCAACAAACAGUUGAUGUUGCUGCCAACUGAAAAUGUUUACCUCUUAGAAUAAACACACCACCUCGUAUUUCUUUCACUUUAAUCUCCCCCCUCCCACACACACACUCACACA